AUGCAAAUGAUAGCACAGGAGUUCACAAUUUCAUUGUCAGCAAUGUCUGUAAACGUGGUAUCUUCUAGAAAUUUUCUGGGAAAGUCUGCCUAUGCCCCUAAGAGGAGCCCAGAAGACCAGGAAAUGGCAGCUGAGCUCCUAUCAUCCAGGCCUCAGAUCUCUCUAGGUAAGGCUUCUCAUGCCAACCUCAGGCUCCACCUUCAAGAGAGCCUCCUUUCAAGAAAUGUUUCCAGAGAAUUCUCCUCCUGACUCCUCCUGAGUUCUCCUUCCACUGCCUCCUUCAAGACCUCUCCAGGAGCUUUUCCUCCAGGACCUCUCUCCUCUCAGCCUCCUUCAGAGCAUCCACCUCCUCAGAGCCAAAACCUCCUCAGAGACCUCAGACCCCGCUAUCUUUAAGGACACCAUCUAAGUCCCCUCCCCUCAGUUCUCACAUCUACCAAUCAUUGUCCAUGUCUCCCCUGUGCCAAUGGUAGCUGUAGCUUAACCCAAUACCGCCCAGAGGUCUGCCCCCCUUUGCACAUGUCUGUUGAAGGUCAUAUUCUCAAAUAAUCAAAUCUUGAUCUAUGCUGCAGCCCUUCCUAAAUCCUGUUACUCUGAGAAGGGUGGAGAUUGUAAGUUCCAAGACCUGGUUCUGUCAUUCCAAGUAUCUCUAUUGUAUCAAUUCUAAAAUCAAUCAUGACUCAAAGAACUUCCUGUUCUAUGCUUAAGUAUAGGUCAAAGCCCUUUCCAUUGUUUAGCAAAAGGUUUCUGUCCUAAAGUAGUCUUAAGUAGGGAGGAGAAGGAUCCUCCCAUGCCAAAGAGUUUCACAUUCCAAUAGAAUUCUUACUAUCAGUAGGAAAUUUUUUCAAGUAUGAAAUUUCCUAAUGGGGAAAUUUCCAACAUUCAUAAGUCUAAGAAAUUUUAAGGUUUACAGGGGGGUACUAUUAUACUCCUAUAUCUCCCAAGUAUGUCCAGCUUGUCUCUCAGUUCCUUUAUGAGAAAGUGAGUUUCAUUCAUGGUCAACCCUCAUGCUCAACAUACAUGCAUAUCUACAUGCUUGUAUUACUUAGGUUUACAGAUUCCAGCUUUCAAACAUGAAUAAAAAGCACACAUUUUUUUUAAAACCCUGACCU
rnacentral:lncRNA from 1 species